CCCAUGCUCAGUCCACUCCAUAUACACUCGCCUGAUCCGCCACCAUCGUCUGUCCAUCUCCUCUCUUGAUCAUCAGAAAAUGGAGCAGUCUUCAGAUUCAGCCUCUUCCAUAGCCUUCAGAUCCAAGAAGCCCUUCAGCUCGACCUCGAGAAAAGUCCGAGCUUGCGACGAUGGCGUUGCUAAAGCCGGCGACCUCUUGAGCUCCAAGACCCCGGAGAAGCCGUCGUGCCUCCCGAACCGGGUUCGGAAUCGCGGCGUCGCGCUCUCGAUCAAGGACGUGAGGCGGGCCGCCGAGAGCCUCCGCGAGUCGUCCAAUCGGGACCCGCCGGCGGGCCGCGAGGCCGGGUCGGCACGCAAGCAGAUCUUCUCCGACGAGGCUCCUGCUCGGAAGCCGAAGAGAUCUCUUGCUGGGUUGACUAAGUUGCCGGAAAAGUACGAGGUGUUGGGGCAGUUUUUCGAUGGGUUGGAUAGUUCGGUGAGGCUGUUGAAAUUGAAGGGAUCGGUGUCGACGUUCACGAAUAUCCGCCCCAAAAUCGAGUGCUUGACCGACAGGAGGUUCACUCAUAGACACCUAUCUCAGUUGAAGUUUAUCUUACCCGAGGCAAUUGAGAUAAAGAAGGUGCUCACGUUUGAUGAGCAAACUAGUUGCAUGAAGCCGAAUCUCUGCAUAAGUCUGAAUGCUGACGCGAUUCAAAAGGACGGGAAGACGAGCUUGGAUGAUAGCAAGAUCAAUUUACGAAAGCUCUUCCGUGCCCGGCUCUCAGAAUUUGUUAACGCCCAUCCUGAGGGAGAUGAAGUUCCUGAGGAACCACUUCCAGAACCUUUCAAUCACACACAAGAUAGAAUUUCAAAUGAGAUACUGCAGUCCAAAGCCUCUUUGCCUGCAGAAGCAUCAACAGAAGAUCCUGUAGGAUUGCAACCAGUGGUAGCGUCUCAUCUGUCUGGAUCGUUUCGGAGACGCUUCUCCCAGAACGUCGAGAGAAGUACAUCGGGAAACACUAGCCAGAUGAUGUCUGUAGUUUCACUUGGGCUUGCUUCUCUUUCAGUUCCGGAGCCACGGCAGGAUGAAGUUUCUAAUGAUGAAGAAGCAGAUUCUUCUGAACCACCUGAAGAUGAAUUGGCUUCACAGACGAGCAGCGACGAACAUUUAGCUGACUCUGCAGCUCCAGUUGUUUGUCCACCUUCAAAUAAUAUUGCCACUCCAAGUAAAGUGAUUGAUCUAUUGAAGAAUGAUGAUUCUCCUCAGAAAAUUUCAAGUUUUGAAUCGACUCCUGCAAAACUUGCUUCAACUCCAGCGAGGCUAAUGGCUGCAACACCUGAAUUGCAGCCACCUAACAGGAGUUUCAUGAGCCCUGAAGAUGAUUGUGCCAGUUCACCUCAUAAGUUAGUUAGGCGUCCACCUCGUACCCGUUCACUGAAGUUUGAUACUCCUGUUAAGGACAUGUCGGCAGAGGAUGAAGCGAGGAAAAAGGACUCAGUGCCAUCUGAUGAUGAUAUAUAUGACAUUCUUCCUCAGGAUCUUCUCCAAAAGAUAAGAGACAGAGAGAAGAAAGCAAAGGAGGAUAAAGAUCCAGCCAUCUCACGAGCAAAGAGAAGGCGGGAAAUUCUCGCUGCCCUGCCUCAACUAUUCAACAUGAUGCAUUUCUUUUUCAAGUCUACCAAGCGCUUCGUGAUAACAAGAGAGGAGCUUAUUUAUCAGAUUAUAAAAAGCCGCUUCGAUAUGAUAGACAGAAACAGGAGAAGUAGAAGAGCAACUUGAUUUGAUGAAAGAGCUGGUCCCUGAGUGGAUCUCCGAGAAGGCAGGUUCCACCGGGGACCGCCUUUUCAGCGUCAACAAAAUGUCAGAUCCUGAUUCUGUACGGCAACGGCUUGCCGAAACGAAGUGACAGCAUUUGUGCUAGAUUUUGUGGAAGCUAGGAUCAGAUUAGCACCGAGAAUGCUGAAGAAACUCUUCAUCUGCCAAUUGUAAAUGUUCAAUCUUCUUUUGCCUUUUUUGUAUGCUGCUGCGCGUUUAGGUGUGGAUGCUGUUACUAGGGACGAGUCGCGGCGGCACCUAAUUUAUAACCUUGAAAUUAGUGAUUAAUCAUUUGAACCUGCAUUCUUC